AUCCUGUCAGACAGCAUCUCGUCUCAGCCUUGCCCCCUCUGACCUGGAGGAGUUCUGGCAUUCUGUCUCUGACCCCGAGCACCCGAAGACACUGCUGCAGCAUCAUAGACAUCUGGGUCACUUGAGCAAAAGUCGCAGACAACAUCUUGUCCACAUUGUCAAUUCCUCAAAUUCAUGGCCUGAAGUCCAGCCUUGAUGGACAUGAAGGCAUGAAAGGGAGCACAGAGGGGUGGAAGAUCAACAGUGAGGAAGGAGGAGAGUUGCAUUUUGAAAAGAACUUGUAGGAUGAUGGAAGUAAAAGAAAUGAAGACCCUGAGAGAGGAUUGAAGGAUGAGGAUGAUGCAAACUGGACUUCCCAUCUGAGUGAACCAGAGGUCUCGGAUGAACUGGCUAGUGGCAUGCCCUCCGAGGUCUUCUCCUGCCCCCAGUGCCCAUUCUCCCACAGGGAAAUGGUGAACCUUCAGCAGCACAUCCGGAAGGAACAUCUAACAGAGGACAGCAGGAGCCUGGACUCUGGAGGAGCUGAGAACUCACUGCCAUCCAGUCAAACAGCCAAGAGC